GGAAUAUAAGAACCCGUCUCUUAACUUUUAACUAAAAAAGUUAAGAACCGACUCUUAAAUAAGAGUUUUAAGAGAUGGUUCUUAACUUUUUUAGUUAAAAAUUAAGAGACGAGUUUUUAUAUUUC
rfam:Brassica oleracea var. oleracea cultivar TO1000 chromosome C1, whole genome shotgun sequence